AUGUGGCUAAACCUUCUGUCCAUACUUUUAGUCCUCAAAGGAAUCCAAUCUCAAAUACAGUUGGUGGAGUCUGGAGGAGAUGAGAGAAGACCUGGAGAGUCCCUCCGUCUCUCCUGCCAAGCCUCUGGAUUCACCUUCAGCAGCUAUGACAUGCACUGGGUGAGACAGGCUCCAGGGAAAGGACUGGAAUGGGUGUCAUGGAUAAACCCUUCUUCAGGAACCCUCUACUCAGACAAAGUGAAAGGGCGCUUCACCGUCUCCAGGGACAAUAACAAAAACCAGCUGUAUCUGCAAAUGAACAGCCUCAAAACCGAAGACACAGGAGUCUAUUACUGUGCAAGAUACACAGUGAGAGGAAGUGAAUCUUAUUAUCAUUUGUGGUUCUUUUGUAUGCAAGGAAACCUAGGAGACCAAUGCACGGAGGGAUUCUUUGAUCCCAAUGGUAAAGUCAAGGACCGCUUCCCCAUCUCCAGGGAUGAUUGCCGCAGCCAGCUGUGUCUGCAAAUGAACAAUCUCAAACUGGAGGACAAAGCUGCCUAUUACUGCUCAACUUGCACAGUGAGACGAAGUGAAUCUGACGCUGAGCAAAAACCUUCUCAUCAGGGCAGCUCUGAAAAUUGA